GUUAUUGUGACUGAAUUGGUUAGGUAACGGAUUGCAAAUCCGUAUUAUGCAGGUUCGAGUCCUGUCAAUAACUCCA
rnacentral:tRNA from 1 species